UUCAAUUCUUUUUUCCUCGAGCAGCAUGAAUAUACAGGUAAAAUAUUUCCAAGGUGUCAUGGUAAGUAACACGUGAUUGCAUCCAUGCCUGUCUAGGUAAUGUAGACCAAGCUAGGUUAGCUACACUUUGCAGUGAAUGAAUCUCAUAAAUUCAAUCCAUGUAUUUUAGACUGUUUCCCAAACCAAAAGUUGAUUUCUAACUUUGCCGCGUUGUUCAUGGCCUUUGGUUUGGUGGUACUUGGCUCUGCUCAUGUGGUCACCAGCUGCAAGCUUUACCCAUCAGCCACUUAGUUUCUGACAUGCUGUCUAUUGUGUAAACUCUCAACAAGCUUAUUGCUGAAAUUCAGAGUUUGCUGGUCAGUGAGCUCAGAGGUGCCGUGGCAAGCUGUCUUCAUUUGUCCACAUGUGCUUGGGCUGCUUCGGCCUGCACCAUAAUGUCCUGUGCUGUGUUGCAGAGCCGACGUGCCACCUCCCAGCAGUAUCGAAGGUACUGCCCACGUUCCGAGAGAGCCCCAGCGGGAGGCUGAUGCGGCAGGAUCCAGUGGUUCACUUGUCUCCGAACAAACAGGGGCAUCCUGACAGCCACUACUCGAGCCACUCCAGCAGCAACACCCUCUCCAGCAACGCGUCCAGCGCCCCACAGUGACGAGAAGUGGUAUGACGGGGACCGCACUGAGUCCGAGCUCAACAGCUACAACUACCUGCAGGGCACCUCUGCCGACAGCGGCAUCGACACCACCUCCUACGGCCCCAGCCACGGCAGCAGCGCCUCCCUGGGGGCCGCCACGGCCUCGCCUCGCUCGGGGCCCGGCAAGGAGAAAGUGGCCCCCCUGUGGCACAGCUCCAGCGAGGUCAUCUCCAUGGUGGAUCGGACGUUAGAGGCUGAGAGCCACGGCCUGGACCGGAAAGCAGAGUCCUCCCUGAGCCUGGACAUCCACAGCAAGAGCCAGGCCGGCUCCAGCCCUCUGACCCGGGAGAGCAGCACUUUCAGCAUCAACGACGCCGCUUCCCACACGAGG